CAAUUUUAUCACCUAACGGCUACAUUUUUUGGCCGUUUUACGGCUAACGGUUAACCCCAUUGAGACCCUCGCAAAAGGGUGAUAGUAACAAAAGGAUGUUGGCUGUUGCCUUUUGGAUACUGCUGGUGUCGCUGGUUUAUGCUACAUUUGUUUUAGGCUAUACUGAUUAAAUAUGUGGCACGGCCGUAUAAUUAUAUGGCCUCUCUGUGUUACCUAUUGGAUGACUGUGGUUCACGAACACUGGAGUCUUUGCUGAUACUUAUUUUACGCAACCGGCGUAUCAGGCUGUGAGUUAUGUUCAGUGUCAUCGUCGACGCUGACGGUCAUGAGCGUGGACCGACUUCUCACCAUGUUAUUAGGACUGAGAUACAGAGAGACGUAACUCUGAGGUCCCUCAAAAUGGCGGCCAAACUUGGAGAUUGCCGAAAAUUAGCUAAGGACAACCUGCAGGAGAGUGGAAACGACAGCAGGAUGACGGUGACAACAAAUAUAACGGGAAGAGGAACACAAGCGCCAACAUUUGACGAAUCGCUAUGUUCUCCAGUUUGGGUAGGUGAGUUUAAACAACAGUCCAUUUCAUUCUCAGCAGUCAACAUUCUCCUCUCCAUCACAGCAACUCUUGGGAAUUCUCUUAUCCUUGUUUCCCUACACAAGGAAUCUUCCCUCCAUCAGCCAUCCAAACUCUUGUAUCGUUGUCUGGCAACAACUGAUCUGUUGGUUGGUCUUGUCACCCAGCCUCUCUAUGCUACUUAUUGGAUGUCCUUGGUUCACAAACACUGGAGUCUUUGUCGGUACGCAAGAGACGCAGUCUACAUAUCAAGCUACGCACUAUGUGGAGUGUCUUUGCUGACGUCGACAGCCAUAAGCGUGGACCGACUCUUCGCCAUAUUGUUGGGACUGAGAUACAAAGAGAUUGUAACUUUGAGGCGUACGUAUAUCAUUUUAGCCAUCGUUUGGGUUGUAUGUCUAGUCGCUGGUUUAUUCUCUCAUCUCAAUUACCGUAUAGCCCUUUCGAGCAGCUUGAUAAUUACACCGUUUUGCGUGGUAAUCUCAAUCGCUGCGUACACAAAGAUUUUCCGCGCUCUCGGUCAUCAUCAGGCUCAAAUACAAGAUCAUGUUCAACAACAGCCGAGUCAUCCAAAUGCACUGAACAUGGUGCGAUACAGAGAAGCAGUGUACAAUGCACUGUGGGUGCAGUUAGCUUUGGUUGUCUGUUAUGCACCACAAUUUGUAGGGAAAAUUGUGAGAUUUGCUAGUAGAAAGAGAUUUUCGAGUUUCUUCAUAAUCCAUGAAAUGGCAAUUAUCUUAAUGUUCUUUAACUCUACUUUAAACCCGUUCCUUUACUGCUGGAAGAUAAGUGAAGUGAGGCGAGGAGUAAAGCAGACAAUCAGACGAGCAAUCUGCUUUGCAGAGGAGUAGACCUAUUUUGACGUGGGCAUGUACUGCUUCUUCUAUAACUGAUUUGGAAAUUGUGAUAUCUUUGAGUUUAACCCAAUUAUCGAAUUUAAUCAUAAUCAGGGACAUGGCAGAUGCUUUAGUAGCUUUCUUUAGCUCGACUUUAAACCUGUUUCUUUGCUGUUAAUUUUAAAAGCACUCUUGUUGCUUAUUUCGAAUAUUCAAGGGGAAUACGUGACUCUAUCACAGGAUGUAUACACAAGGCUGGUCUCAUGAGAAAACAUUCUGUCAUUUCAUGACAAUCGAGUACGAAAGCUGUCGACACACGCUCUUGAGUACCUACCACUGCUCCUAAUUAAAAAGGACAAAGAAGAAACCUUGACCCUCCCUACUGGAAAGUACUGGGAAAACUUUUUAUCAUAACAAUCACGGAUAGACGCAAAAGCAAGUCAAUAAAGCCGAUGAAGCUUCGAUUUUGAUGUGUUGAAAAAAUACUGGGGACAAUUGCAAGUAAAACGUAUGGAAAAGGUUCAAACUUUUUCGCUACUUAACUCAACGCCUUUAUAAAUUGAUCAUGCGUUUUUCUUUGAAAAAGA